rnacentral:rRNA from 1 species
UACAGAGGGUGCAAGCGUUAAUCGGAAUUACUGGGCGUAAAGCGCGCGUAGGUGGUUCGUUAAGUUGGAUGUGAAAUCCCCCGGGCUCAACCUGGGAACUGCAUUUCAAAACUGACGAGCUAGAGUAUGGUAGAGGGUGGUGGAAUUUCCUGUGUAGCGGUGAAAUGCGUAGAUAUAGGAAGGAACACCAGUGGCAAGGCGACCACCUGGACUGAUA